rnacentral:piRNA from 1 species
UAUGCUGGCAGGAACACACGCGAGUGU